UGCAGUCGAACGAGAAAGUGGAGCAAUCCAUGAGUACAGUGGCGUACGGGUGAGUAACACGUGGGUGAUCUACCUUUUAGUGAGGAAUAACCGAGGGAAACUUUGGCUAAUACCGCAUAAGCCCGAGAGGGGAAAGUCGAAAGACGCUGAAAGAGGAGCCCGCGGCCGAUUAGCUAGUUGGUGAGGUAAGAGCCCACCAAGGCAGAGAUCGGUAGCCGGCCUGAGAGGGCACACGGCCACACUGGCACUGAAACACGGGCCAGACUCCUACGGGAGGCAGCAGUGGGGAAUCUUGCACAAUGGGGGAAACCCUGAUGCAGCGACGCCGCGUGAGCGAUGAAGCCCUUCGGGGUGUAAAGCUCUUUCGGCAGGGAAGAUAGUGACGGUACCUGCAGAAGCAGCUGCGGCUAACUACGUGCCAGCAGCCGCGGUAAUACGUAGGCAGCAAGCGUUGUUCGGAGUUACUGGGCGUAAAGGGUGUGUAGGCGGUUCUUUAAGUUUGGUGUGAAAUCUCCCGGCUUAACCGGGAGGGUGCGCCGAAUACUGAGGGACUAGAGUACGGGAGAGGAAAGUGGAAUUCCUGGUGUAGCGGUGAAAUGCGUAGAUAUCAGGAGGAACACCGGUGGUGUAGACGGCUUUCUGGACCGUAACUGACGCUGAUACACGAAAGCGUGGGUAGCAAACAGGAUUAGAUACCCUGGUAGUCCACGCCCUAAACGAUGCAUAUUUGGUGUGGGCAGUUCAUUCUGUCCGUGCCGGAGCUAACGCGUUAAAUAUGCCGCCUGGGGAGUACAGUCGCAAGGCUGAAACUCAAAGGAAUUGACGGGGGCCCGCACAAGCGGUGGACAUGUGGUUCAAUUCGACGCAACGCGAAGAACCUUACCUGGGCUCGAACGGCUUCUCAACGC
rnacentral:rRNA from 1 species